rnacentral:rRNA from 1 species
AAUCAAACUUCGUGAUAGCUGGUUCUCUCCGAAAUGCAUUUAGGUGCAGCGUUGCGUGUUUCUUGCUGGAGGUAGAGCUACUGGAUGGCCGAUGGGCCCGACAAGGUUACUGACGUCAGCCAAACUCCGAAUGCCGGUAAGUGAGAGCGUAGCAGUGAGACGGUGGGGGAUAAGCUUCAUCGUCGAGAGGGAAACAACCCAGACCACCAAUUAAGGUCCCUAAGCGUGUGCUAAGUGGAAAAGGAUGUGGAGUUGCAGUGACAACCAGGAGGUUGGCUUAGAAGCAGCCAUCCUUGAAAGAGUGCGUAAUAGCUCACUGGUCAAGUGAUUCCGCGCCGACAAUGUAACGGGGCUCAAGCACACCACCGAAAUUGUGGAAUUCAAUUUUUUGUUGGAUUGGUAGGAGAGCGUCGCGUGUUGGGUGAAGCGGUAGUGUGAACUGAUCGUGGACGGCACGCGAGUGAGAAUGCAGGCAUGAGUAGCGAAAGACGGGUGAGAAACCCGUCCUCCGAAUGACUAAGGGUUCCAGGGUCAAGCUAAUCUUCCCUGGGUUAGUCGGGUCCUAAGGCGAGGCCGACAGGCGUAGUCGAUGGUGAACGGGUUGAUAUUCCCGUACCGAUGGUGUGACCGCCCAAUGCGAGCGGGUGAUGCUAAGCAAGUGAAGUCUUCUUGUGGCCUUCGGGUUGCUUGGGGGUGGAGGUUGUGAACCGAAUCCGUGAGUGUAGCGUAUUAACAGGUGUGACGCAGGAAGGUAGCCGAGCCGGGUGAAUGGUUGUAUCCGGGCAAGGAUGUAGGGCCAGUGAUAGGCAAAUCCGUCACUGAAUAGCCUGAGAUCUGAUGCGGAAGUCUCUUUUGGGACGUAGUCGGUGAUCCUAUGCUGCCAAGAAAAGCAUCGGCGUGAGGUUGCAGUGUUGCCCGUACCCAUAACCGACACAGGUGGUCAGGUAGAGAAUACUAAGGAGAUCGAGAGAAUCGUGGUGAAGGAACUCGGCAAAAUGCCCCCGUAACUUCGGGAGAAGGGGGGCCAUCCACUUAUACGGAUUUACUCCGGACAGGGUGUGGUGGCCGCAGAGACCAGUGGGACUCGACUGUUUAUCAAAAACACAGGUCCGUGCGAAGUCGCAAGACGAUGUAUACGGACUGACGCCUGCCCGGUGCUGGAAGGUUAAGAGGAAGGGUUAGCUUUGGCGAAGCCUAGAAUUUAAGCCCCAGUAAACGGCGGUGGUAACUAUAACCAUCCUAAGGUAGCGAAAUUCCUUGUCGGGUAAGUUCCGACCUGCACGAAUGGCGUAACGAAUUCCCAGCUGUCUCCACCGCGAACUCGGCGAAAUUGCAGUACGAGUAAAGAUGCUCGUUACGCGCAGCAGGACGAAAAGACCCCGUGACCUUUACUAUAGCUUGGUAUUGGUGAUUGAAAUGGCUUGUGUAGGAUAGGUGGGAGACUGUGAAGCAUUGACGCUAGUUGGUGUGGAGUCGUUGUUGAAAUACCACUCUGGUUAUUUUAGUUAUCUAACUUCGGACCGUGAUCCGGUUCAGGGACAGUGCCUGGUGGGUAGUUUAACUGGGGCGGUUGCCUCCUAAAGAGUAACGGAGGCGCCCAAAGGUUCCCUCAGCCUGGUUGGUAAUCAGGUGGUGAGUGUAAGUGCACAAGGGAGCUUGACUGUGACACUGACAGGUGGAGCAGGGACGAAAGUCGGGACUAGUGAUCCGGCAGUGGCUUGUGGAAGCGCUGUCGCUCAACGGAUAAAAGGUACCUCGGGGAUAACAGGCUGAUCUUGCCCAAGAGUCCAUAUCGACGGCAUGGUUUGGCACCUCGAUGUCGGCUCGUCGCAUCCUGGGGCUGGAGUAGGUCCCAAGGGUUGGGCUGUUCGCCCAUUAAAGCGGUACGCGAGCUGGGUUCAGAACGUCGUGAGACAGUUCGGUCUCUAUCCGCUGCGCGCGUGGGAAGUUUGAGGAGAUCUUUCUUUAGUACGAGAGGACCGAGAAGGACGAACCUCUGGUGUGUCAGUUGUUCUGCCAAGGGCAUUGCUGAUUUGCUACGUUCGGGAUGGAUAACCGCUGAAAGCAUCUAAGCGGGAAGCCGGCUUCGAGAUGAGACUUCCUUCCCUAUUUUGGGGUGAGGUUCCCAGUAGAUGACUGGGUUGAUAGGCCGGGUGUGGAAGC